CAUCCGUCACUACUGAGAACAACCUCUCUCCAUCCUCUUUGGAACCCCUCCUCAGGUACUUGAAGGCUGCUAUCAAAUCCCCCUUCAGUAGACUACAUAAACCCAAAUCCUGCAGCCUCAUUAAUGAUGAAAAAAUAAAACUAUUGGCUCCAAAGAUGUUGGUUACAAGACUUCUCAUAGCUGUAUGCAAACAGCGUCAAGAGAUAUAUAGAGGCUAUUUUAGAGGAUUGAAUUUAGAACUACAGAACCCAGGGCCACAUCACUCCUGACUUGCUGUGUAAUGGCAUAGUGCGAUGUAAACGUAUGGACUGAUGACCAGGUGGCCAACCUGUAAAUAUCAACUAUUGGGACCUGUGCCAGAAACGCCACUGAGGACGCAUGUGGUCAAGUGGAAUGGGCCAUAAUGUGGAGUGGUUCCUUAUCUGCUAGCACAUAACACUCCCUGAUAUAUGCUGAGAUCCAGGAAGAGAGCCUUUGGGCUAAAAGCGGUUACCCCUUCAUCCUUUUUGUGAAAGAAAUAAAGAGCUGAGAUGACUUACAAAAGUGUCUUGUUCUAUGUAAAAAGCCAACAUCCUCUUUGCAUCAAGUGAGUGUAGGGCCUGCUCUCUGGGAGAUUGAUGCAGCUUCAGAAAGAACACAGGUUUCCUUCAUAUGGACUGCAUGACCAACUGGAAUUGAUG